GACGGAGGAUGCAAGUGUUAUCUGGAAUCACUGGGCGUAAAGCGUCUGUAGGUGGUUUAAUAAGUCAACUGUUAAAUCUUGAGGCUCAACCUCAAAAUCGCAGUCGAAACUAUUAGGCUAGAGUAUAGUAGGGGUAAAGGGAAUUUCCAGUGGAGCGGUGAAAUGCGUAGAGAUUGGAAAGAACACCGAUGGCGAAGGCACUUUACUGGGCUAUUACUAACACUCAGAGACGAAAGCUAGGGUAGCAAAUGGG
rnacentral:rRNA from 1 species